ensembl:lncRNA
CUUUUCCGUUGUUGACUGUAAUGACAUCUGGACACGUGUGUUUUGUUUAUGUUGCUGUCUCCUCCCUGUUCUGUCAUUGGCUGGGAUUUCACGUGGGUCUGAAUUGCUCUCAGCUGCUAGCGGUUUAGACGCUGAUUAUGUCCGCAUAUAUACGGCGCGCCUCCCAGCACACAACGCGGAAGAUUAAAUGUUUAGAGUUAGUUUAGCUCGUAUCAUAGUCACGGUCCAUGUUUAGAGUUAGUUCGCGCUGGAUUAUCCGCUUCCAGUCCCUCGUCAUAGUUCGUUUCUUGUUUUGUUUAUCGACCCUGUUUUCCGUGACCACGACCUAGAUUCCUGCCUUGCCCCGUGUAUGCCUGUUUGCCAAUCGCCUGACCUCUUGCAUGUUUAUGGAUUACGUUUUGGAUCACGUUUUGGAUUUGUCUGCCUGUCUGUCUUUCAAAUAAACAACUGUUCAUCCUGCACUUGCAUCCGUCCUAUCUCUGCUCCGUCACGAUUCGUGACAGAAUCUUCCACCAAAACAUGGAUGCAGCAGGAGAACGGAGGAGACGCAGAACCCGGAAGUCGACGCCAACCGUCCCCGCUAUGGACUCCGUCCACUUCCCACAAUGGACAUUUAUGGAGCUUCCUGAUCCAUUUGAUGGAUUUUUCGGUGCCCCUGAGUAUUUUCUGGUAGACUGUCAAUACUAUUUCGCCAGCCUGUUAGACCCUAAGCCAGAGGAGAAGCAAUGGCUCCGAUUCAUGUGGUCCCGGUUCUUUGGACCGGCCCGUCAAUGGGUGCAGCUAAAACUGGAUAAGCACUGUAGGAACCUGGACGGUGUAAAACAGUUUGUGGGGGAAUUCAUGGUGCGAUUCGGGAGUCCGGAGGCAAAGGACGAGCUAGAGCAACUUCUCAGGGGGGUAAGUCUGGCAGGCGAACCUGCCCUGCUGUUUACCUACUACUACAGGCAACUUCAUGUAGAGCUCAACUCUGAAAUCCAAGUCAAGCCUCCAGUCCCUGAGAUCCAAGUCAAGCCUCCAGUCCCUGAGAUCCAAGUCAAGCCUCCAGUCCCUGAGAUCCAAGUCAAGCCUCCAGUCCCUGAAAUCCAAGCCAAGUCUCAAGUCCCUGAAAUCCAAGUCCAAGCCAAGUCUCAAGUCCCUGAAAUCCAAGCCAAGCCUCCAGGCUCUGACGUCCAAGCCAAGCCUCCAGGCUCUGACGUCCAAGCCAAGCCUCCAGGCUCUGACAUCCAAGCCAAGCCUCCAGUCCCUGAGGUCCAAGUCAAGCCUCCAGUCCCUGAGGUCCAAGUCAAGCCUCCGGUCCCUGAGGUCCAAGUCAAGCCUCCAGUCUCUGAGGUCCAAGCCAAGUCUCAAGUCCCUGAAAUCCAAGUCCAAG